GAAAUGGGAUUGCAAACCUAGUAGUUGCGCGUGUCGGCUGUUCAGGACUAGCGCAGGACUCCGGGCGCCCUCCCAGCCUACUCGUGCCGCUGUCCGGGCACUAGCUUCCCGAGAAAAGUCGUGGGACCAUGUCGAAUAUGGGGAAGCCGUUAUUUAACUUGAAGUUUGCUGCAAAAGAACUUAAUAGGAAUGCCAAGAAAUGUGAUGAAGAAGAAAAAGCUGAAAAGGCCAAGAUUAAAAGACUUCUGCCUUGAACAAAUUCGAACACCAGUUUGAAAUAUUGGAUAUUCAAACACAACAAAUGGAAGAUAAAAUGAGUAACUCUACAACCCUAACAACACCACAAAACCAAAUGGAUAUGCUGCUUCAGGAAAUGCCAGAUGAAGCUAGGCAGGAGAGUGAAUCCGAUCUCCCUUACUCCAUUUUGACCAGAUAUGGAAGAUGAGGAAACUGAAUGUGAUCUGAUAUUCAAGAUAGCUGCUUUGCAAUAUUUCCCUCCAUGGUUAUACAGGAUUUUGACUUCAGCAUGUGUGUGGUCUUGAAGGCCACUUAGGAUGAGACUGAUUGCAGGAGACUAAGGAUAUUGGCUAUGAUACCUUCUAUAUUUAUAAGGUUUCUGAUGACUUCAGAGAUUUUGAUGUUACAAUAGAGGAAAAGCUUUCAGAACUCUCAUGGAAAGCUGAAAUGUUCAUGAAGAUCAAGCAGAACAGGAGUUAACUGCAUGGACUAAACUAAUAAAAGACUGUUAAUAAUCCUUACAGCUUUUAACAGUUGAGUAAAGCAUGUGCCUGUAAACAAAAUUUAGAGCAUAUUACUUUCUCUUUACUUGAUUUCUCCAGAAUUUAGAUACUACUUGUAAGUAUUUUUGACUCAUGGCAAUAUAGUUACUUGCCUUAGUGCAAUAAGAAUCUACUUUCUUUUACACAGGACACAAUUGGAGAAACUGGUUAUUUUACCAAGGUUUUGACUGGAAUGGCAUACUUGCAGGUGGCUUUAAGGAAUCAACUUUGACUUAGAGAGCCAAUAAAUACACCUUGGGGAAAACUGGCCUCAUACUUUGUCUAAAUAGUCACUGUACACAUCUCUUGACCUCUGGUAAGUAAAGAAUGUUAUUUUCCAGUAGGCCAAGUAGCCCCAAGUUGUCUUGGGACCUCAAGAGGAGAGGAAUUUACCCAACUCAUAUAGGUAAUUGAUGACACUAACCCAUGGCUGGGAUUAAGUCUUCAAAAAAGUCUUAUCUGAUUCCUCAUGAAAUGAAGUUCCAUCAAAGACAAUUUAAAAGGGAGCCUAUAUGACAAGUAAUUAUUCUUGCUGUUCUUUAUGCAAAUAAUCAGGUCAAGUAUAAUAAGACUAAAGUUUAUUCUGCAAACUAAUCAAUCCUGUCAUGAUAUUUUUUAAACAAAGGAGGACUGGAAAGAGAAAAAUCAUGUUUCAAGAACUAUAAUAUACCUAUUACUAGAUUCUAGUCUCAUCAGUUGUUUUUGAGUGUUUGUCUGCAAUUCAGACUAACCCUGCUUAUUCCUGUGAACCAACUAGUGAACUCUGGCUACAACUCAGAAGAAACAAGAGAGAUGGGUCAUGUAAAAACCUGAAUCAAUGUGCUAAUUCUGGGCAAUAGAAGAAUUGGCUAGCAACCCCAUGCACCCACGUCUUAUCAGGCAUGAAUAUAGCCACCAACUACCAGUGCAUGUUGGCAGCUUCUGGAUUUUUUGGAGGUGUCUUCUCCCCCUUAUUUUGUUUUGACAUUAUUCUCAAUCUACUAACCUGAUGUCUUUCCUCUUGUGUUCAGGCUAUCAAGCUCCAAAAUAUGCUCAGUGAUGGAUACUGUCCUCUCAAUACUAGAGUCACACUUCUAGAGGGGACCCCUAGACUGCCCAUCAGUGGAACAUGACAGAGGCAAAAUCUUGCCACUGUCUUCCUUGGCCCUGGGUGGCUACCACUUUCACCAAUCCAUGGAACUACCCUGCUCUGACAGCUAACUUCUGUCAGAAGGAAACAAUUACAGAAGACUGACUUAUAUCAAUUUUCCCCAAAGAAUUGGGGUCUUGGAUUGUUGAGAGGGGACAUGGUAACAGUAAGUAGCUAGUAAGACAUGAGCAGAGCAGGGGAGGUCUCUCCCCCACCACACACACACCAGGAAUGUCAGGUGGUUUUUAAGUGUCUCCCUAAAGUAAUAAUUGGUCACAGCUUGUGCAAGGGAAAGGCAGUCUCCCAAUAGGAAAAUACUGAAACUAGUGAUCAGCUUCCUGAUGAGAUCUCAGGAAUCAGGCGAGUGGGCUCAGGCAUGUGCACCAAGAGGCAAAAUGGUGGAGUUUAACUGAUGUAUGACCUUCUGAGGACAUUUGACUGUUAAGGGAAGAACUCCUCAAGAGAACAUGCAUACAACUCCAGUAAACACACUGUGCCUGUGGCCCUUCCCAAGUGCUAGCAGGCCACUGUGCAUGUGGACAGCCCACCACAAGGGAAGAAUCAGAGAAGAAGGGACGCAAGACCCUUGAAGCCUAUCAACAUAUAUAUAUAUAUAUAUAUAUAUAUAUAUAUAUAUAUAUAUAUAUAACACAAGUCAAAAGAUCAAACUGUGCACUUAUCUCUGAAGUACCCGCUUGUUCCUCUUACAAGAGUAUUUCACUUUCUUUCAUUCCUGCUCUAAUGCUUUUUAAUAUACUUUUAGGCCUGCUUUAAACUUGCUUUGGUUUCUCACUCUGCCUUAUGCCCCUCAGUCAAAAGCCUUCUGAGGAGUCAAGAGUUGAGGUUGCUGCAGACCUGUACAGAUUUGCCACUGGUAACAACGCCUGGCUGAACAUUCCAUUGGCAGUAGCUCUGUGUUUCUGUGAGGUGGAGUUCCCAGAAGCAACUGAUAGUCCCUCUGCUCCUGCCUUCCACAGUACUUGCUGCCCCCAGGGUGGAAAAGUCACAAAGAGCUUGAGUACUGUACUCGCACUUCCAGCAUGCUACAGCCACCCUACAGAGAGGAGAUCAGACUGUGUUCCCAGGAGCCGCCCCCCAACCCCAUCUCUUCACCAGGCAGGGCCCUCUGGCUUGGGCCUGCAGCAAAGAAGUGUCACCCCCAGCUGAUCAUUGCAAUUUGCAGUAGCUCUGUGUUUCUCUGUCAUAUAGCUCCCAGAGACAAAUGAGAAGGCCGACGGCCAUCAUUGCUGCUGAGGUCCCCACCCCUGCUGCCCCAAGCUGAAUAGGGAACAAGAAGCCUAAACAUACCCCAGGGCUACUGUGCAUAGCUUAGGAGUGUCAAAUGGUGAUCUGUGGCCAGCACACGAGCAGGAGAGGAACCCACACUCUCAGAGUCCUGAGAGGUUAGAGUCAAAGCUUCAGGAACUGUGCAGAAACACAGCAUGCCUCCAUCUGCAGGUUCCACCUGGGAAAGUUAUGGCCUAUCUCCCCGUCAUGGCCCCUGCCCAUGGAAGUCCUGCAGCCUAGAAUGCCUAACAAAAGAAAAGCGGAUGCCAUGCCAGUGAUUAUAGGGAGUUCUUCCAUGACACAGGAGUGGACCUAGUGAGGGAGUCACCUCUCUCCACCCCGCACCAAAGAGCACACCUGAAAGCAUGAAGAAAUACAGAGAAGCCACAUGGUAUAAUAAGAGCCUAUUUACUAUUACUCUUAAACACCAUCUACUGAAUUGUAGCCCAAACUAGAACACCAAAAUUAUUUUGCUAAUAUACUCAUCUGUGAAACCAAGGGCAAUAAUUUCAGCCACACACAAGAAAAGACCCACCACAGAGCCUUGGCCCUCUGAAAACAUCCAGAAAUAAAUGCAACUGACUAUACUCAAACUACACUACAGUUGAAGGAAUGUCAGUCCUCCCAGUUGAGAAAGAAUGAGCCCAAGAAUUCUGGCAAAACAAAUAGCCAGAGUGUCCCCCUACCCUUAAACAAGUCCACUAGCUCCCCAAGAAUGGUCCUUAACAUUUUGGAAAUGACUGAAGUGACAGACAUACAACUCAAAAUUUAUAUGGCAAGGAAGCUUCAGGAGAAAGUUAAAAUUUCAAUCCAAGGAAUCUAAAAAAUCCAGUAAAAUGAAAUGAGCUGAAAGACAAAAUAACCGUUUUAACAAAGAAUCAAACUGAUAGAGCUGAAAACUCACUACAAGAAUUUCAUAAUAAAAUUGGAAAUAUUAACAGCAGAAUAGGCCAAACUGAAGAAAGAUGAGACCCAAACAUCUGCUGUCUUCAAAAGACACAUAUCUCAUUUAAUAACACCCCCAGGCUCAUAGUAAAGGGUUGGAGAAAGAUCUACCAUGCAAAUUAAAAAGAGCAGGUGUUGCUAUUUUUAUAUCAGAUAAACAGAUUUUAAACUAAUAAAAGUUAUAGACAUUGUGUAAUGAUAAAGCAUACAAUACAACAAGAAGAUAUAACUAGACUAAAUGUAUAUUCAGCUGACAUUAGAGCACUGAGAUUCAAAAACAGUUAUUUUUGACCUACGAAGACUUCAACAACCAUGGAAUAAUAGUGAGAGACUUGAACACCACACUGACAACAUUAGACAGGACAUCAAGGCAGAAAACUAACAAAGAAAUUCUGGACUUAAACUUGAAACUUGACCAAUUGGGUUAAAAAGACAUCUACACAACACUCCACCCAAAAACCAUAGAAUAUAUAAUCUUCUCAUCUGCAUAUGAAACAUAUUCUAAGAUUGACCACAUGCCCAGUCAUAAGGAAAGUCUCAAAAAAUUAAAAAAAUUGAAAUCAUAACAAGCACACACUCGGACCACAAUCCUCACGGAAUACUAUGAACAACUAUAUGCAUGCAAAUUAGCAAAUCCAGAGUAAAUGGAUAAAUUCCUGGAAAAACACACAUUCCCAAAAUUAAAUCAGGAAUGUAUUGAAACCCUGAAUAGAUCAAUAUAGAGCUCUGAAAUUAAAUCAGUAAUUAAAAUGAAAAACUACCAAUAAAAAAAAAAAGCCCAGGACAAGAUGGAUUCACAGGUGAAUUCUACCAGGUGAACAAAGAAGAAUUUGUAGUAAUCCUUCUGAAACAGUUCCAAAAAAUUGAGGAGGAGUGUCUGCUAACUGUCUCAUUCAGUGAAGCCAACGUCAGCCUAAUACCAAAAUCUGGCAGACAACGUGAGAAAGGAAAUUUCAGACUAAUAUUCUUCAUGAAUAUAGAAGCAAAUAUCCUCAACAAAAUACUAGUAAAUUGAAUCCAGCAGCACAUCGAAAAGUUAAUGCACCACAACCAAGUAGGAUUUGCAAAGCUGGUUCAAUAUAUGCAAAUCAAUAAAUGUGAUUCCCCACAGAAACGAAAUUAAAAACUAAUACCACAUGAUCAUCUCAAUAGGCAAAAAGAUUUUGAAAAAAAUCCAACUUGUUCAUGUCCAAACCCCUCAAAAAAUUUUGAUACGGGAUUUUUCUCAGCCCCUUUGCUAGACUUGCAGCAGGGGGCUCCCCAUCUACUUGAUCCACCAAGAUCAGCCCCUGGCAGGAGGAAACACAUGAACAAGUGCAGGGUCUGGCCGGCCACUCUGAGCACCAACAGGAGAAAACUCCAUGUGGGUCCCAUGGCCCGACCAAAGUUAUUGCACUGAGGAGAACAUGGCUGAACCCAGGCAGGUGUGCCUGCAAGCCCAAAGCCCCCAAGGGAGUGUUACAGUGUACUAAUUAGCUCUUUUAGUUCCACUGUCCACAGCCCGGUAGAUGGUGGCAUGUUAGCAGCUCAAUCAGCCUUUUGCCUCACCCUGGCAUGUGACUCCAGAAACAGUGUGGCUCCAGGGCCGGCUUGGACCCACCACUGUUUCUGUCACAUGGGACAACUGCCAUCCUUUGGUGAGAGCAAAGGGCCAUUGUUACAGCCUUUUUGGGUACAGGUGUUCAGUGGGUCCUGAGCUUUUCUUCUGUGUCCAAGAAGAAUGAGGUCGUGCUGACAAUUGAAAGGUGAUGAAGGUAGAGAAUUUCAUUGAGUGGCAAAACAGCUCUCAGUGGAGAAGGGAGGGGACAGGAGGGUCGGUUCAUCUCUUCCAAAGUCAGGUCAUCUCUUCCCUGAUGUGGCUGAGUCUGGGGCUCCUAUAGGCACAGGGGAGGGGAGUGCUUGCUGAUUGGUUUGUGAGUAUGCACAAAAGGUUAAAACAAAGGCACCAGUCAAAGGUGGGCACAGUGUAAAAAGAAUUAGGGAAGGGUAGAUAAAUGUAAAAUAGGUGAAAGGUGGGGAUCAAUCAAAGGAAAGCAUGUAAAAUGGGAAGACAGGUUUGCAACCUGGUCUGUGAAUUUUACUUGUAACUUGGCCUUUAGGGUUUAAACUGUCUUUGGCUUGAAGGUGGGAUUUCACUGGGUACCUGCCCCUGUUUUAGGAUUUCUCUACCUUCUGCCUCUAUCAUUUCCCCCUCUGAAGAGGUACAUGUAACUGCCAUUAGAACAGGGAUGAUGACUGAUCUUAGCUACUUCCUGCUGACAGGGAGCAUUGUUUUCAGGGCAGUGACAGUCAGAUUUCUCUCAGAGGCCUAUCUAAGGGAACCCUGUAAAAGGGAACCAUUGUCUGAGGCUCUGGUUGCAUGACUGGAGUUUGUUGGCCUGUAGGCAAGAAGAAACAAAUUUUACAAGGCUAACUAUGCAUGGAUCAAAUAUGGGUGUUAUACAAAGAGAAGUUAAAAGAAACGAAUCUAGUGUCAAAGAUAACAGAAAUAAGAAGUGAAAUAUACUAAUAAUUCUGAAAACAAUAUUGUGCCCCGAUGAAAGAAAUUAAAUAUUGUAUGGGAGCAAUUAAACUUUAGAAAAGAGAUAACUGUUUAGAGGAGUAGGUAUUUCUGUUUGUGUUCAGGAUUAAGGGACCCUUGGUAAAGAUACCUCAUGGUGACGAACAAAGUGAAGGUAAGAACAGCAAGCAUAGGCAAGACUAUAAAGAGGAUAUCCAUGGAAGGUCAAUUAUUAACACUUAUCUUUUGUGAUUUUUAGCUUAAGGUCCCAGAUUUUUUCACAUUCAUACUUUGGGUGCUCUGCUGGGUUGAUGAAGGUAAUGCUGUCAGCUUCCCCGUGCAUUUACUUGAGUAUAAUGAAUCCAAGAAUCUGUUCCAGUGACCUUCCCUGCUAUAGGAGUGGAAAGAAGUAAUGUACUUCCCAAUCUUCCCUCCCGAUCUGGGCCUAGAGAGGGAGAAAGGAAGAGAAGUGCCUUUACCAGUACUAGGUCCCCUGGAUUGAACAUAAUUUUAUCAUUUUGAGAUUGUUAUAUAAAUGAAAGUAGAUAGUGUUUAACCUUUUGAGAUUGACUUUUUCACUGAACAAGAUAUCCUUGAGAUCUAUGAAAGUUUUUGAUGUAUCAAUAAUUUGUUCAUUUUUAUUGCUGCAUAGUAUUCCACAGUAUAGAUGCACCAGUUUGUUUAACCAUUCGCCUUCUAAGAGGCAACUGCAAUAUUGGCAGUUUUGGGAUAUUACCAAUAAAGCUGCAGUGAACAUGUGUGUAAAGGUUUUGUUGUAAAAAUGUUUUAAAUUUUCUGGAGUAAGUGCCCCCAAGUGCAAAUUACUGGGCCAAAUGAUGUGUAUUUUUAACUUUCUAAGAAACAAUCAUAUUCUUCCAGAGUGGCUGUACCAUUUUCUAUUCUCACCAACAAUGUAUGAUCUAGCUUUUCUGAAUCCUCACCUGCAUUUUGUACUGUCACUGUUGUCUAUUUUAGCCAUUUUGAUAGGUAUGUAGUGAUAACAUAGUUUUAAUUUAUAUUUCCGUAAUGGCUAAGCAUAUUGAACACCUUUCCACGUGAUUAUUGUCACAUGUAUAUAUUCUUUGGUGAAAAGUCUGUUCAUGUCUUCUGCCUACUUUCUAGUGAUACAAUAAACUUUAUUAUUUUUU